UACGGAGGGUGCGAGCGUUAUCCGGAAUCACUGGGUUUAAAGGGUGCGUAGGCGGCCCGCUAAGUCAGGGGUGAAAUCCCGCCGCUCAACGGUGGAACUGCCCUUGAUACUGGCGGGCUCGAACGGGCGCGAGGCGGGCGGAACGCGGCAUGUAGCGGUGAAAUGCUUAGAUAUGCCGCAGAACACCGAUUGCGAAGGCAGCUCGCCAGAGCCCCGUUGACGCUGAGGCACGAAAGCGUGGGGAGCGAACAGG
rnacentral:rRNA from 1 species